rnacentral:rRNA from 1 species
CCUACGGGUGGCUGCAGUAGGGAAUAUUGCUCAAUGGGGGAAACCCUGAAGCAGCAACGCCGCGUGGAGGAUGACGGUUUUAUGAUUUUAAACUCCUUUUUGUAGGGAAGAUAAUGACGGUAUCCCCCUAAUACUCACCGGCUAACUCCGUUCCAGCAGCCGCGGUAAUACGGAGGGUGCAAGCGUUACUCGGAAUCACUGGGCGUAAAGGGUGCGCAGGCGGGCGUGUAAGUCAGAUGUGAAAUCCUGUAGCUUAACUACAGAACUGCAUUUGAAACUAUGAGUCUAGAGUGUGGGAGAGGUAGGUGGAAUGCUUGGUGUAGGGGUAAAAUCCGUAGAUAUCAAGAGGAAUACUCAUUGCGAAGGCGACCUACUGGAACAUUACUGACGCUCAUGCACGAAAGCGUGGGGAACAAACAGGAUUAGAUACCCUUGUAGUC